CAAUGGACCAUCUCCCAUGUUAAGUAUAGGGAAAGAUCGAUGUCCCGCAAACCUGAAGCAUUCAUUUGUUACACAGGAAAUAUGUAUAGCGACACUCACCCCACUCAGUGUUUCUGAGGAUUCUCCUGACAACAGCAAGAAGUGUUGGGAGCACAUGGAGGAUUGAGCAGCACAUCAAAAAAAGAUAUGGCCAGAGAAGGGCAAAUGGAAGAAGACAAAAAGAGAUUCAAGGACAGAGAAAGAAGGCUAAACAGAAGAAGAAGAGUCAGUGCAAACCAAAAAAGUGGCAAGAUGGCACCCAGAGAAGCCCGCUUCUCAGAUCAAGAGAACUGUGUACUCAUUGAGACAGAACUCCAGUACUUUGGUGUGAGACCCCCUAGAGCCCUCAAGAGGGUCUUCUGCCAAUAGCAAUCCCCAGUAGUUCCCUUAGUGCUUGAUAUGCACACCAGUAAUUAGGGGUCCCCUGGACUUAAAACCUAAAGCUAGAGGGGCUCACCCAAUAGACUGGUGACCACUGGAUCAUGGACUGGCGAGUAACUGAGGGUGAGGACUCUCAGGAGUACGGAGGAAGGGGUCUGAAUAGGGUUGGAAUCUCAGCCAGAGCGGAUGAGGCACUGUGUAGGUGGUAUACAGGCACUUAGUGGAUGGUGUGGAUAAGACUCUAGCAGAUGGUAAGCAGGCCAGGAAUACAAUUUAGGGCUGGGAAGUUACAGCUCCUGCCAUACAGGAUUCUGACAGGUGGCAACAGGUUAGGAAUGCUAGAUACAGCUGAGGGUUGCGGCUUCAGCUGUACAAGGUUCUGGCAGAUGACAACAGGCCAGAAAUGCAGAAUAUAGCUGAAAGUUGUGACUCCAGCUGUAAAGGACUCUGGCAGAUGACAGUAGGCCAGGUAUACAGGUUAUAGCUGAAGAUUGCUGCUCCAGCCAUGUAGAAUUGUGUACAAGUAUUAGCUGAAGGUUGUGGCUCCAGCCAUGUAGGACUCUGUGCAAAUGACAGCAAGCCAUGGAAUACAGGAUCAGCUGAAGUUUGUGGCUCCAGCCAAACAGGAUUCUGGCAGAUGACAGCAAGCCAGGUAUAGAGGGGAAACUUAAAGUUGCGGCAACAGCCAUACUUGACUCUGGCAGAUAACAUCAUUCCAGGUAUACAGGAUAAGCUGAAGGUUGUGGCUCCAGCCGUGUAGGACUCUGGCAGAUGACAGCAAGCCAAGUAUACAGGACAACUUCCAGAACCAACAGGAGUAGAACCAGGAUCUAGCUCCCAGGAACAGAGAACCAGGGGCUCUUGCUGGCAUGAACUAUAAUGGGGAGGGCAUGGUAGGACUGACUACAAGAUAAAGGGACAGCAACCAAUCACCAGCAGCCAAGCCCCCUUUGAGUAACUAACACCGUGCAGCUGGAGCGCAGCAUGUCUCCCACAGCAUCCAGUCAGCCCAGGAUUCGCAGCAGCUGACCAUCAUAAUGGUCAUCUAGCGACCACAGGGAAGCCACUUGGCAGAAGUGCCUUUACAUCAUGGCAACGAUCGGGACCUGUGGGGAUUGUGAGCCACCACUGCUCAAAACACUCAUUGACUAUGUAGAUAAAGACAAUGACUGGCUAAUUGGAUUACAUGGAUUUCAUGAAAGGAGAAGAGAGCACUAUAGGCAGACAUCGCAGUGAAGGUCACUGUCUGUGCAGAUACAGUAAGCAAAGAGAUAUCGAUGUAUUCAAGAAAAAAGGUACACUGACUGCCGGCAGUGUAAAAAGAAGAAAAUGGAAGAAGAUGGCCAAAGUGGCAGCCGACGAAAGAGUAACCAGUGGUGAACCAGAGCUCAACAUCUAUUGGAUAAACUGGAAGGAGAUGUGAGAUCACAUUAAUUCCAUCCUAGUUGUUGGCAUCGAGGGAAUGUUGGACAGCCAUGAUCCCUCCAUCGUUCACCAAAAAUAAAAACAACCACAAACAGCAACCUGACAGACAUCAUCUUGACAUCCUGGACUUCAAGAAAUGGGAGAACUGGCUUUGUCAAGCCCUGGACAACACAGCCAUCAGCCAGACAAGUUGGAUCCUCCAUAUAUCCAAGCAUGCAUUGUGGUAAAUCGACGAAGAUGAAAUGAAGAGGAACCUAGAAAAGUAAUCUUGACAGCAGCAGGACCCAGAUCAAUCAAGGAAGCAACCAACCAUUCAGUGGUAGCGGCCAAAGCCACAGCAUAAGGAGCCAUGGACGGAAACCCUCAUACCAUCUGACCUAUUCACUCAGACAACUCUGUUUGAGUCUGCUGGAUUGACUGAAGAAUCCUUUGAAAGAUUUAAAGACAAUGCAACACGACAGACAGGAUCAAGCAGAACACAGGAGACCAGACCCAGACGAACAAAAGAAACCAGAUCAAGCAGGACACAGCAAAUAGAAGACUUGGUUAUAGGGUUUUGCUUCCUUUAUACAGAUGAAAAAAAACCAACUGGAGCCUACCACCAGUGGUGGGACAGCAUGUGGCAUUGGCUUCUUACAUCUAGACUUACUGGUUUCAUUAUAUUUUUGGUUUGUGGAAACAGACCAGAAUACCCAGACUAAACCCACGCAAAACAUGGGGAAGAUAUACAAACUCCAGGCAAUUAGAGACAUGGUGGGAAUCAAACCCAUGACCUCAGGGGCUGUGAGGCAGUAAUGCUAACCAUUAUAUAAUCUCUAUUGCCCAUACUGAAUAAGAUGUGGAUGAAGGACUUCAAAGAGUAUCUACACCUACGCCCCUUGGUAAAUACAUAUUUUAUUACAAUAAACUUCUAAACUCACUUUUAAAUAAUAGCUUCCAGUGUAAAUAGUUUUUUUAAACACUGGAGGGUUUUUUGGAUUUUUACACCAUUUCAUGUUAACCUUAAUAACUUUGUACAUUUUUCAUCUAAAAAUCUAAAAUUUGUUUCCAAUUUUUUUGCUCUUUGAAUUUUCAGCCUGAAGGAGACCACUUCUUGAUGCAACACUUUUUAGUAAGUGUGGGGGUAUUUUUAGUUUUGUGAAAGAGAGUCACAAACACCAUUACUGUGUUGCCAGCCUAUUGCCAGCCUAGCAGAGUCUGCAUCUUUAACUUUUGUGAAAAUUCUUCCAAAAGGUGUUUUGUUCUGUGAGUCUGUACAGUACACAGUCAAAUUAAGUGAACAUUUUCCACAUCUUUAAGUCACCACAUUGGUAGAAUUCAAUCCUUGGAUGUAUCAGGCUAGCAGUCCAAAUACAAGGUAUCCAAGCUCUCAGAAUCCUCUGGUCACAAUGUAGGAAUAGUUAAGACAGGGUAGAGGUUUCCCCGUGUGGUACACUGUUGAGACAAAACACAAGGGAAAAAAUAUAUUUUGUUAGCAUAUGCAAAGUAGAAGCAGGGUUAUUAGAGGAUAAAAGUGGUGUACAUAACAAUAACUUUAGGGGAGUUGUCAGUACAACGUAUCAUGCAGUCCACGGCAUCAACCAAUAAAGAUGCCAACAUCUUCAACUGUAACUUUAAUAAACUGAAAUAUAUAUUUGAAUUACACCCUUCGAUGUUAUGUGAGCUGCUUGGUACCUUUUCUCAGCAUCACUUUCAGGAUUGGGCAAUUGGAUCAUCACUCAGAACUUGUUGGCAUAACCCACAUCACCUGUGGGGACAAAACAAAUACACAAAUAUUAAUUAAAAUAAAUAUAUACUCACCCAAUAACCAUCAUUCGACAUUUUGCCAGUCUCAAACUCUUGAAUCAGGGACUACUGGCUUACGAUGAAGGAGUUGUGGGCCAACCCAGGAAAAUCCACAAGUAGAUUGGUGAAGUUUUGUUUGGCAUCACAAACCAGUAAUGAAAGUGUUUUUAGUUUUGAAAACAUUCCUCAGAUUACCUUGGUGGAUUGAGUGCCACAUGAGUACCACAAGGGUUAAGUCUAUCGCACCCAGAAUAUUGGGUAACUGAGAAAUUUUAAAAGAAAAACCAAUAAAAAAAAAUUUGGUCUCCAUCCAUUCACUGUCAUUGUCUGGAAAUUUAAUAAACUGGAUCAUUAAUUUGCAGAAAGCCUUAUAGACUUUUGUUAAAGGACAAAAUUGAAAAAGAGGCUUGUGACAUACCGGCUACUAGGGACAAAGUUGGCUGAAAUGUGCCUGACACAAAAUUAUGUGAUGCAGCCAAAAGUUUUGAAAAACCACUGAACACUGCAUGAAUAGUGGGUACCCAAGGUUCAAGGUCUGGAUCAUAACAGAUCAUACAGCAAAUAGAUUGCAGUACUUGAUAACCGAUAAAUUUACACUCCAAGGCCCUCAUUCUGAGUUGUUCGCUCGUUAUUUUCCUUCACAUCUGUGCGAUUUUCUGCUAACUGCGCAUGCGCAAUGUUCGCACUGCGGCUGCGCCAAGUAAAUUUGCUAAGAAGUUAGGUAUUUUACUCACGGCAUUACAAGUUUUUUUCAUCGUUCUGGUGAUCGUAGUGUGAUUGACAGGAAGUGGGUGUUUCUGGGCGGAAACUGGCUGUUUUAUGGGUGUGUGUGAAAAAAAGCUGCCGUUUCUGGGAAAAACGCGGGAGUGGCUGGAGAAACGGGGGAGUGUCUAGGCGAAUGCUGGGUGUGUUUGUGACGUCAAACCAGGAACGACAAGCACUGAACUGAUCGCACUGGAAGAGUAAGUCUCGAGCUACUCAGAAACUGCAAAGAAAAAUCUUUUUGCAAUAUUGCGAAUACUUCGUUCGCAAUUCAGCUAAGCUAAGAUUCACUCCCAGAGGGCGCGGCUUAGCGUGUGCACUGCUGCGAAAAGCGGCUAGCGAGCGAACAACUCGGAAUGAGGGCCCAAAUACAAUACUAACAUGUAUGUGGAAUUCAAACACGCACUGACUUGCCUGAGCACGUUCUUCCUCAUCCAUGUCCUGCACCUCCACACUUGCCUGGAUCAUGAAUAUCCAAAUGGUGUCAGAGAAAGGCAUUGUAUAGCAGUUGACUUAAUAAAAGCUUAUUCUCCCUGAAGUCUUCAGACAGGAGUGACAGCAUACUGCAAGCAGGAGGAAAUGCAUCAUGGGAAUAAAGCAUAAACUGGUGUGAGCAAAAAAAGCCAUGUAAAAAGACAAAAGAAAAUUGCUAUCAGAAUGAAAAUAAACAUUCUUACAACAGAUUCCACAAAUUUAAUUUUAAUUUUCAGGUCCUCCAAGAAGUGGAAAAAAAUAAUGUGUUAAAAUCAACUAAAAAUACCUGUUAACUUAAAGCCUGCGUCUAACUGAAUAGCUUAUUAAAGAAAAGUCAGAUUUUACCUAUAGAGAAAAUUUUACACACAAAAAUUACAUCCGUUAAAAAGUUAUCACACAUUUUAAAUGAAAAAAGGAAAUUGGCAAAUCUGAAAAAAUUUCUAGUGUAAAAUUAUACUUGUAAAAGCAGAAAAAUUGGUGUGAAGUAAUUUUCGGACCUGACAACAACUGAUAUUUUUCACAGUAUAAAUAUCACAUAACCUGACACUUUAACAAAUAUUUGUUUUCCAUUAUAGAUGAUACAUUUUAGAUUUUAAUAUCUCUGCAUAAGGUUAUUUAAAGAGUACAACAGUUGUCAAGGAACUUCUUUAAGUUCCUUACACAUUAAUACAAUUUCUUAAUAUUGUAUUUUACACUGAUUUAUUUGGGAACUUAGCCCAUACAGUAUCUAUAAAUGUAGAAAUAGGCCACCUCCAAAAUAUAGUUACUUUUUCUGCACACUUUAGAAGAGUUUUUGUUUUAAUAUAAAGUAAAUUUGUUAUUUCUAUUCAUGUAAUAUUAUUAUGUUGGCAUAGUUAAUAUUCACUUUUUAAACUAUUUAAAAUACUUUCCAAAAUGUAUUAAAACAAUGGAGUUAAAGAACACGAAGGCAACAAGCUCUGAUCUUUUGUUUCUGGAGUCUUCAACUGCAGUACAUUUAAGUUAAAAAGGAAAUAAUUAGACUUUAUUUUCUUAAUUCCCAGUAGACAACACAGUUCUGCUUUUUAUGAGAACUAUUGAGCAGCGGGCAGGGAUAAAUGUGCACAGAAACUGAAUCACAUAUAUUUCCUAGGAUGCUACAUCUUAAACCUAGAUUUAAAAAAAGAACUACUGUAGCUUGCAAAAAAAGAAUUUAUAGCUGAUUAUUCAUUAAAAUCAAUGAAAAUAUCUGUAUUAUCUUUAAAAAUGUUUCAAUUAAAGUAUGAUUGCUUAGAUAUUUUUGCAAACAUUUGUGUUAAAAGGGUUAUCUCAUUUUAUGGUAAGUUAUACCUCAUGUAAAUGUACAAAUAAAAAAAAAUCAUGGCUAUAUUCUCAUGUACAACAUAAAUACAAAUAUUUGUCCUCACUUAGCUAUCCUGUUAGCCAGAAAUACAGGGAUAAAUGUAAUAGGGUGCAAGGUUUUGUGCGGGACAAACUCACACUUUCUCACACAUUUUGAAGUGCAACAUUGCCCUGCAAAUGCCUUUAUACACAGACACAUGCACAGAUCUCGCUUAUCUGUUCAUGCUUUUGUCAAACUCACCUACAGUAUCUGAACAAGGCGGGUCAUUCCGAGUUGAUCGUAGCUGUGCUAAAUUUAGCACAGCUAUGAUCAUUCACACUGACAUGCGGGGGACACCCUGCAUAGGGCUAGCCCGCCCCACAUGUCAGUGCUGACCCCCCCCCCCCCCCGCCCCGCAGAAGUGCAAAGGCAUCGCGAUGCUUUUUGCGUUUCAAGAGUACUCCCCACUCCCCACGUCACACAGCCGCUGCGGCCCUCACCUCAUUCGGUCCGGCCACGCCUGCGUUGGCCGGACCGCACCUAUGAAACGGCGGCCAAACGCAGCUGUUUCGCCCCUUCCGCCCAGCGACCGCCUCUGACUGUCAAUCAGGCAGAGGCGAUCACAGCCCUGCCACUGCCUUAGGCCAUCUGGCAUGCGCAUGCGCAGUAGAGACCCAUUCGCUCGGCUGUGAUAAACAGCAGCAAGCGAACCGGUCAGAAUGACGCCCAUGGUCCUUUUUUUGGCGAGUUUUGGUAAGGUUUUGGGUGUGAGUUCUAAAUUUGCAUUCUGUUACAUUGGGCAAGUUGUAUGUUUUCCAUUGGAUGCAAGUUAGGCCAUUGCGAGUUGCAGGAGUGUGAGAAACAUGCAAGAUUGCAUUCUCUCUCACCCUAUUACAUUUACCAAACAUGCACCUUAUUACAUUUAGCCCACAGUCUUAAAUAAAAUGAGUCCCGUUCUCAAUCGGUGUAAGCAAUGUCAUAUGUGGCACAAGUCUCUGAAUAAUAAAGGGAGAACCGACGAAACAGGAUAGUGAAGUGAAGUGCAGUACGUCCAAUCAGGGGUGUAUCUUCCUUUUGGCCAGGAUGGCACUUGCCAGGGGCACUGGUCAAGGAGGGGAUGCUUCCCGGCAGUACCACCCGGGCCAAGGGGUAGAAUGACAUAGUAGUUCUUACUACAUCCCUUAGCAGUGCUCAUCCACUGCCGGACUCUCAGAAGCGUAUUGCGCUCUGACACUCAAUGAUGGUGAAUAUAGCCGGGGAGCGGGACACUUCCAAGUAUGGGGAGGGGCGAGGCACUUCCUCUUCCUCAUCAGCUUUCCUUCUCAUUGGUCCCACGCGGUCUGUCACCAAACACCAGCCCCUACAAUCAGCACCAGUCAGCAGUGCAGCAUGAGCAUACCUGUACAUUUUCUGCGGUACCGUGGCUGCACUGCAUGGUCUAUCCUGGCACUCUGGAUCACAGCUUACAAAGAGCUCUGUAUGGAGAGGUAUCUAGACCAAUGACUGCCUGUCCAGCUGUGUUGAUACUACAAGUCCCAGCACACCUUGUCAACUGGAUUUGCUUAGACAUGUAGUGUCAUCACACCUAGAGAAGGUUUUUUAACUGUAUGUAUGUGUGCAUACAGUAUAUCCCCUCGGUGUUCCUGUCCGCACCCUCCUUGUAAUUACCCCUCAGUGUUCCUGCCCGCACCAUCCCUUAACUGCCCCCUCAGUGACCCUGCCCAUACACUCCUGUAUUUUCCUCUGUGUCCCUGCAUGCACCCUUCCCAUAAUUCCCCCUCAGUGUCCCUGCCCACACCCUUCCCAUAGUUCCCCCUCAGUAUCCCUGGCCGCACCCUCCCCAUAAUUCCCUCUCAGUGUCCCUGACCUCAGCCUAUCUGUAACCCCCCCUCUGUGUCCAUGGGUGGGGGAGGUGGGGGGCACCACUUUCUUACUUUGCCAGGGGCACUCAGACCCCUAGAUACACCCCUGCGUCCAAUAAGCGAUAUUAUUCACUUUACUGUACGUGGUAUUCAAAAUACAUAUAUUAAAACAAUAUAAACAAGAGUAUAGAAAAUGCAUUCAGAGUUUAUGUAAUGGUUACACAGCUUCUUCACUCCAAUUGUCACUCCUGGAAUUAAGUUUAUAUCUCUUUCUGGCAAUCUUCAGCUGUGCAUAUAUACCUCCUCAAUCAUGCCCAAUGCAUUUUAUCUUUACUGACUUCAACAAGGGCUGGUGUUAAUGUGGUAUGUGCAGCACUGUUUCAGUAUCCGGACUCACCCAAAUGUUUUUCUAUACAUUACAUAAAGAAAAAGUUGACCUAUUUAACUCUUAUGUUUUGACAUUAAACACUUUCAGUUAUUUUAAUGUUCCUAAAAAUGUUUAUUCAAAACAAUAAAACCAAUUUUGUUUAUCA